ACGGCUGGGGCUGGGGGAGGAGCCUCCCGCCGUUCAGGUGGGAAAACAAACACACAAAGGGGCCUCUCCGGCGGCCGCUAGCCCUCCGAGGAAAAGGCGGGCAGGAGAGCGCGGAGAAAACCCGCGCUGCGUCCCGCAGUCUCUUGUCAGGCCAGCCGCCUGGGCUCCCUCCUGCCCCGCGCCUCCCUCUAGGCCCGACGGGACGGGAGUAAACAAAAGCCGGAGCCAGAGGACGACACAUGGGUGGGGACGGGGACCUCCGCGCCGGGCCACACAAAGAGCCCGGCCCGGGAGGGGACGCGCGGGGCGGGGGAAGGGGAAAGCCCCCAUCCGUCUCCACCCCUGCCAUCCAGGUAGGGGCGGCUCCGCCUCACCUGCUUGCCCCGGUAGAAGAGACGCUGGCGGUCGGGGCUCACGCGGAAGGUCUCCUGGAUCUUCUCCCGCAGGCACUCGAUCUUGCAGAAUGCAGGCCACAGGUUGCUUUCACCUGGAGGGGCAUCCAGUACAUGUGGAAUCGCUUGCCCCAGGGGUGGAAACACAGCCCUACCAUCUGCCAUAGACUGAUCCAAACCAAGCUGGAACAAGAUGGAUCCUGCUGUCUUGUAGGAAAACAUUGGAGGUGGAAAGCCACUGCAUGGAGUCCCACACGAUGAGUCGCAGAAGCCACUGAAGGACAAGGUUACACCUGAAUGUGAAACACGCACUGAAAUCAAACAAGCAAAAAGGUUAAAGCCUGUGUGAUAUGAGGGGCAAUGGUUAAAAUGUAAGCGUGGAGAGGCUUGGCAGAUUGAUUGUAUUACACUUCCACAAACCUGUCAAGGAGAUCUCUUGAUUGAAUCGCCUUAAUGUGGAUAAAGUCAUGGACAUAGACAGAAGAAGCCUGAGAUGAGCUUGACAACGAGACAAAUGCAUAAGACAUGUAAGGAGGGACUGGAAGAAUAGAAGUGUAGUAUAAAGCAGAGAAAGCAGAAAGAAGCCAGCAGAAGAGGGAAAUGUGCGUCUGAGUUUCAAGGAGGAGUUGUGCAAGAGGAGCAGCAAGUCAGAAAGGAAAGGACAGGAACUCUUUUUACAGGUUUAUUUUUCUAGUUAACUUUACAUUUGAGAACCUUUUAAUGACUUAUAGGCAAUGUAAUAACCUGUGUGGAUGUUUUGUUACUGUCUUACCCACUUCCCCCUUUUUGCCCCUCCCUCUCCCCCCCUUCCCACAGGUGAUCAGGAGGGAAAGAAGGACAGAGAGAAGAGAGUUGGAAAAAUUAACAAUGUUUUACUAAUGCUACUAAUAAGAAUAGAGAAAAUAAUACAAAAUAUACAAAACCAAUCUUGAAAGUCUCAGCAACUGCAGAGCCGGCACCUGAAGUCCUGGAUUAGACUCUGCAGCCAACCGGAGCUGGAUUCAGUCUGUCACUAGGCCUCAGUUCGCAGGGACGGCUAGCAAGGUCCUCUCCUAAUGUUGGCCAUAAGGAAAAAGGAAAAAAGGGAAAAGGGAUAAGAUUCUCGUGAUCUCGUACUUUUAUAUGAAGUAUUCGCGUGAAUGGAAUGCUAUACACAGUUGGUCAGUUUCUUGGUCACUUGUUUUCUCGUCGCCCCUCUCGCGAGAUGUCCAUCCGUGCUUAUCAAUAAGUUUGCAUUCCAUUGCUAGGUUUACCAAAACAUGUGUCUGGUUCUCCAGGAAAAUGCAGUUAAUAUGAAGGCUUUAGCUGACAGGCAAAAUUCAAUGAAAGAGAAGCUUGUUUUUAACAAAACCAGGACAGUUGCCCUGUGCUGGACUCUCUCCAGCAAGUUCCCUGUCCUUCUUGAACUGAGAGGCCCAGAACUGGCCACAAUAUUCCAGAUGUGGUCUCACCAGGGCAGAGUAGAGGGGAAGGAGAACUUCUCUCGACCUACUAACCACCCCCCUUCUAAUACACCCCAGGAUGCCAUUGGCCUUCCUGGCCACAAGGGCACAGUGCUGGCUCAUGAUCACCCUGUUGUCCACCAGGACCCCCAGGUCCCUUUCCCCUACACUGCUCUCUAAUAGGUCGUUCCUCAACCUAUACUGGAACCUGGGUUUGUUCCUGCCCAAAUGUAAGACUCUACACUUGCAUUUGUUAUAUUUCAUUACAUUUUUUCCCCGCCCAACUCUCCAGCCUGUCCAGGUCCCGCUGGAUGGCAGCACAGCCUUCUGGUGUGUCAGCCACUUCUCCCAGCGUGUUGUCAUCAGCAAGCUUGCUGAUAGUACACUCUAUUCCUUCAUCCAACUCAUUGAUGAAUAUAUUGAAUAGUACUGGUCCCAGUACUGACCCUUGAGGCACUCCACUAGAUACAGGCCUCCAACUAGACUCUGCCCCAUUGACCACAACUCUCUGGCUUCUUUCCUUCAGCCAGUUCACAGUCCACCUCACUACCUGAUCAUCCAGACCACACUUCCUCCGUUUAGCUGUGAGGAUGCUGUGGGAGACUGUGUCAAAUGCUUUACUGAAGUCAAGGUAGACCACAUCCACCACUAUGCCAUCAUCCAUCCACCUUGUCAUGUCUUCAUAAAAGGCUAUGAGGUUGAUCAAGCACAACUUCCCCUUGGUGAAGCCAUGUUGACUGCUCCUAAUGACCCUCUUAUCCUGUUUUUUUUUUAAAAAACAAGUUUCUCUUUUAGUGAAUUUGCCUGUCAGCUAAAGCCUUCAUAUUAGCUGUAUUUUCCUGGAGAACCAGAUACAUGUUUUGGUAAACAUAGCAAUGGAAUGAGAAGUUAUUGAUAAGCAUGCACGGACAUCUCACGAGAGGGGCAAAGAGAAACCGGUGACCAAGAAACUGACCAACUGUGUAUAACAUUCCAUUCACGUGAAUACUUCGUAUAAAAGUAUAUCACGAGGAUCUCGUCCUCUUUGCCCUUCUUCAUCCCUUCUGCUUAUGGCCGACAUUAGGAGAGGACCUUGCUAGUCAUCCCUGCAAACUGAGGCUUAGUGAGAGACUGAAUCCAGCUCUGGUUGGAUGCAGAGUCCAAUCCAGGACUUUGGGUGGCAGCUCUGCAGUUGCUGAGACUUUCAAGAUUGGUUUUGUACAUUUUGUAUUAUUUUCUCUAUUCUUAUUAGUAGCAUUAGUAAAACAUUUUUAAUUUUUCCAACUCUCCUCUCUGUCCUUCUUUCCCUCCUGAUCGCCUGUCCUUAGUGGGAAGCUGGGGGGAAGAGGGGGUUAACAAUACAUCUGCUAGGGUUUUAUUGUCAUCCCACAAUCUAAACCCUCGACACCCUCUUAUCCUUGAUAUGACUUGAAAUGGCCCCAAGAAUAAGUUGUUCCAGCAGUUUCUCAGGAGGUAAGGCUGACUGGUCUAUAGCUAGCCUGGUCCUCCUUCUUGCCCUUUUUGAAGACUGGAGUGACAUUUGCUUUCCUCCAGUCCUCAGGCACCUCUCCUGUUUCCCAAGACUUGCCAAAGAUGAUGGAGCGUGGUCUAGCAGUGACCUCAGCCAGCUCCCUUGGCACCCGCGGGUGCAUCCCAUCAGGACCCAUGGAUUUAUGGAUGUCCAGAUUGCCUAAUUCCUCCCUGACCCAGCCCUCAUCAACCGAGGCAGAUUCCUGAAUUCUGACUUCCUCUGGGGCCUCAGGGGUACAGGGCUCCUCAGGACAGCCUCCAGCAGAGCAGACAGAGACAAAGAAGGCAUUCAGUAACUCUGCCUUCUCUGUAUCUUUUGUCUUUUAAAAGCUAGGUAAUUUGUGUUAGUAAAGUUGUCAUCCUUAAUUAUUUCAGAUGUCAGUAAUCUUUCCAGUGAAAAGUAGGACUCUGUGAGAUUACAGACUCUUCUCUGUAUAUGAUCUGAGAUUUUUUCUUAGUUUGAACUGUUCCUUUCAAUUUAGGUAUCAAUAAGAUGUACUACAACAUGUAAAAGCUGUUUGUUUGUUUGUUUGUUUGUUUGUUUUGUGGGAAUGAAGUGAUUUUAUAAAGAAUUGUAUUCGUUGUGUUUCAAAUCCUACAUUACUGAAAGGAGUAAUGAGACUUUACACUUUCUUUCAAGUUUUUGUCUAUAAAUUCUUUGGUAUUGUUUCUGGAUCUAACCAUAUUUCUAAGAAGAUGCUUAACUAGAGAGCAAAUCUGUGGUGUUGAAUAUAGUAUUUAGAGUUCUAUAGUUUAUAGUUAUAAUAUAGAGAAAUAUAUGUGUGUGAUAAAAUCAAUCCUUUGUAGCAAGGUGGAUAAAUGUUAAAUUACUUAGUAACUACUUGAGAAAUUUAAAUGUCAAGUACCACUACUAAUGCUUAGUUGGUCAACUGGGAGUUUUUAAGUAUUAAGGAUGAACUCACCACUCAUCAUGUAAGCAUAGAAGUUAGCAAAUCUAGAGUAGAUGUGGUCAGAUUAUUAAUUAAAUGUCAGAGAGAAAAGUACUCCAAUGCUGAAACUAUGAGUACCAUGGCUAGAUUAUUUUUCUCAUCAUCAUAAACUCCAGAAAAUAUAAAUUAGCAAAGGAACUAGGAUGUCUUUCAUAAUCAGUUUCUCACUACUGUAUAUUGGUUCAGUAUAAGGAAAUAAACAGCAGUCCAAAUGAAGAGAAUGUGUACUAAAAAAUACUUAAGUGCUGUAAAUAUGUAAGUAAUAAAAGGUCAGUUGAACUAUA